CAGUAGCCGCGGUAAAACGUAGGGUGCAAGCGUUAAUCGGAAUUACUGGGCGUAAAGCGUGCGCAGGCGGUUAUAUAAGUCAGAUGUGAAGUCCCCGGGCUCAACCUGGGAACUGCAUUUGAGACUGUAUGGCUAGAGUGUGUCAGAGGGGGGUAGAAUUCCACGUGUAGCAGUGAAAUGCGUAGAUAUGUGGGGGAAUAUCGAUGGCGAAGGCAGCCCCCUGGGAUAACACUGACGCUCAUGCACGAAAGCGUGGGGAGCAAACAGGAUUAGAUACCCCCGUAGUCCCUGUCUCUUAUAC
rnacentral:rRNA from 1 species